rnacentral:lncRNA from 1 species
AGUCUGUUCCUGGCUUUCUUUGGAUAAAGAUGAGCUCUCAGCUCCUUCUGUAGCACUAUGUCUGUCUGGAUUGCUGCCAUACUUCCUGCCAUGAUGAUAAUGGACUGAAUUUCUGAACCUGACAAAGGGAAGAGGUGGAAGGCAAGAUGUAUUGGACGGAGAAUAACAGGCACAUCACAGAGGUGAAGAGAAGCCACAGCAGCCCUGACAGUACAGGAUGUACUGAGUGGUGCCAAAGCUAUACAAUGGUUUGAAGAAGAGUGACUGACGGUGCAGGUUGCUGCAGGAGACAGUAUAAAAGAGAGGAGUAAUUCAAAACAUCCAAUCGCCAAAGAAGACAAUGCCUGCUAUAAGUCUUUGUCAUUAUCCUCCGUGCUGAUGGCCGUGUCCCCUCAUCUACUGGAAAAGCAACGGAUGGCUGGAGAUUUUCAUCGAUCUACAUUUCGACAUUGCCUUGAAUGACUCAGCGUCAGUGCAUAUGCCCACAGAGAAGCCUUCCUCUCUGUUCUGCAUUGUCCCCAUCUUUAAAGGCCACAGCCUCCUCUCCUUGAUGCUGUUUGUUUACUUCGAGGAUUCCCGGACUCCAAGGCUUCUUCUAUUCCCCUGAAUCCUUUAGCUUUACUGCUUGUUUGGUAUUUGCCUCCUCCCCGUGAAAGUUCUCUUACUUUGUUGAACGAAUGGAGAUUCCUCCAGCCUCCUCUGUAGUAUUUGUCGAUGUACAAGUUUCAUCAACGGACUACGGAUUCUCCACAGACGCAAUGCAGAUAAUAAACAUUUGAAAUGGUUCAUCUACAAAACCCUCAUAGUCACCAACCACGAGUAGACCUUCAAACGCGCCUCGGAUUCUCUUUAAUACAGUAUGCUUUAUGCCUGUCAAUAUAUACUUCCCUGUCCCAAACUAAUUUUAACUGGAUAGCCUUUUCUACUCCACAGAGAACAGAAAAGAGGAAGAAUAAGCUCGUCCUUUCCUCUCCAAAUCUAUGCAUUACCAUGUGAAUCCUGACUAUUUACAUCCUUAUUUCUGUAGAGCAGGAGGUCUAUAGCUGGGCAUGGCUGCUCACCCCUGUAACCCCAGAAAUGCAGAAUCACAAGGAUUACCCUGAGUAUGAGGCUAACCUAAGCUGCACGGUGAGUUCCUCAGCUUCAUAGUGAGCUCUAGGCCGUCAGGGGCUUGGCCAUAUGAGACCCCAUUUCUAAAAAGCGUGGGCAAAGUGCCAAGAUGGGUCAGCAGGUAUAGGAGCUUGCUACUAAGUCCAACGACCUGAGCUUGACUCCCAUGAUGGCCAUGUUGAGUCUUUUACGUUGUCCUCUGACGUCCACACACAUGCCAUGGUAUGUGUACACCCGACACUGAAGUAAAUAAAUGUAAGUUUUAAAACAAAAAAAGAGAACUUUCUUCAAUUAAAUCCUAUAAUCUCAUCUUACAUGCUAAAUAUUGCUACUUCAAUUUCUCUGUGGCUCAAUAACUCCCUUUUAAUUGAAUACUGGCCAUCAAAAUUUAAACAAGUCAAGUCUUUCUCAUAUAAAUACCUUUAAAGAUAAUUUUAGGCACUUUCUUGAAGAAUAAUUUAGCCACAAUGAAAUAGAUAAUAGAUCUCAGCAGCACAUUUGUGUAUAACAAAAUUAAAAUAAUUCAAAUCAUACAUUAUUCCUGUGUUAUGAUCGAUUCAGAGUAAAAAGAAAGAACAAACAAUAAAAAACUAAAGAUGAUGAGAUUAAAAUGAGGAUGUGGAAUAACAAUAGGGAACCCAGAUAUGCAAAGCAAUAGAAAAUGUGGAGAGUCUUAUUAUGUAGUCUUUGGAAAAGUUUCACUAAAGACCUCCAAAACUAUGCCUCAUAUGAAUUACCAACAGGUUUAUUUCUAAGGUCCCCUUACAUCAGCAAUAUGCUUGUUUUUGACACCUUUAGACAUGACAGUCCUAAUUAAGGUUUUUAUCCUGGAUUAUAUAUUACUGCUAUUAUUUACCUGCCUUAGAAGGAAGUGAGGUUGGGUAAUUAUUUGCUACCAGUAAAGUUUUAUGCAGUUAAAAUAGAAAAUUUGAAGCUGUGGGGCUUCACACUGGAUCUUACCCUUUUACUAUGGCAUAUAUUUUUAGACACGUCUCCACCACCCAAAUCAAAAAAGCCCAGGAUAGAGCUAAAUCUAGAGAUACAAUUAAUUAUAUAGCCACAUCCACAACUGUAUACAUGCUCAUUGAGAUGCGGAGACCCUGGGACUGGUUAAUUUCCUUAGGUGACAUUUUUUAAUUUACAAGUUUUUUUUUAAACAAAGUUUAUCUUUUUAAAGGGUAGUUUAAGUUUUAAUUAAUCUUUAAAAAUAUAGAAACAAAGAUUGUAACUGUGCACUUUUACUUUGUAGUGGCUUGGAUGUAAAUUGUCCCCCUUAGUCUCAGCCUUUUGAACACGUGGUCCCCAGUCGGUGUCAGUGUUUGGAGAGGUUUCAAUGACAUAGCCUUGCUGAAGAAACUGUAUCACUGGAGGAAGACUGAGAUUAGAAGCCUCAUCCCACUUGCAGCUUGUUCUUGCUGCCUCUUGUUCGAAUUUAACACAUGAGCUCUCUGCUUCCUGCUUCUGCCACUAUACCUGCCCUUCCUGCCACUCUUCCCUCCAUGAUGGGCCCUUAUUUAUCUCUCUGGAAUCGUAAGCCCAAAUAAACGGUUUCUUCCAACA